UGCCUCCUGCUUACCACAGGCUGUAUUCUUACACUAAUUUAGAAGGAGAAAACAAAGUAAACCUACCCCAUAUACACUUCAGCCCAGGCCCUGUACCUGGUCUGUACUGUGGAGACAUGG
rnacentral:snoRNA from 1 species